rnacentral:rRNA from 1 species
GACGCUAGCGGCAGGCUUAAUACAUGCAAGUCGAGGGGCAGCAGGAGUAGCAAUACUUGCUGGCGACCGGCAAACGGGUGCGGAACACGUACAGAACCUUCCUUCGAGCGGGGAAUAGCCCGGAGAAAUCCGGAUUAAUACCCCAUAGUAAAUUGGAGAGGCAUCUCUUUGGUUUUAAAGAUUUAUCACUUGAAGAUGGCUGUGCGCCUGAUUAGGUAGUUGGCGGGGUAACGGCCCACCAAGCCUUCGAUCAGUAACUGGCGUGAGAGCGCGACCAGUCACACGGGCACUGAGACACGGGCCCGACUCCUACGGGAGGCAGCAGUAAGGAAUAUUGGUCAAUGGACGCAAGUCUGAACCAGCCAUGCCGCGUGGAGGAUGAAGGCCCUCUGGGUUGUAAACUUCUUUUAUUUGGGACGAAAAAAGGGAAUUCUUUCCCGUCUGACGGUACCAGAUGAAUAAGCACCGGCUAACUCCGUGCCAGCAGCCGCGGUAAUACGGAGGGUGCAAGCGUUAUCCGGAUUUACUGGGUUUAAAGGGUGCGCAGGCGGAUAUGUAAGUCAGUGGUGAAAUCUCUAGGCUUAACCUGGAAAUUGCCGUUGAUACUAUAUAUCUUGAAUGCUGUGGAGGUAAGCGGAAUAUGUCAUGUAGCGGUGAAAUGCUUAGAUAUGACAUAGAACACCUA